GACGAACGCUGGCGGCGUGCUUAACACAUGCAAGUCGAACGGAAAGGCCCUGCUUUUGUGGGGUGCUCGAGUGGCGAACGGGUGAGUAACACGUGAGUAACCUGCCCUUGACUUUGGGAUAACUUCAGGAAACUGGGGCUAAUACCGGAUAGGAGCUCCUGCUGCAUGGUGGGGGUUGGAAAGUUUCGGCUGUUGGGGAUGGACUCGCGGCUUAUCAGCUUGUUGGUGGGGUAGUGGAUUACCAAGGCUUUGAAGGGUAGCCGGCCUGAGCGGGUGACCGGCCACAAUAGGACUGAGAGACGGCGCAGACGCCUACGGGAGGCAGCAGUGGAGAAUAUUGCACAAUGGGCGGAAGCCUGAUGCAGCAACGCUGCGUGCGGGAUGACGGCCUUCGGGUUGUAAACCGCUUUCGCCUGUGACAAAGCGUGAGUGACGGUAAUGGGUAAAGAAGCACCGGCUAACUACGUG
rnacentral:rRNA from 1 species